UACAGAGGUCUCAAGCGUUGUUCGGAUUCAUUGGGCGUAAAGGGUGUGUAGGUGGCGCGCUAAGUCGGGUGUGAAAUUUCGGAGCUUAACUCCGAAACUGCAUUCGAUACUGCCGUGCUUGAGGACUGGAGAGGAGACUGGAAUUUACGGUGUAGCGGUGAAAUGCGUAGAUAUCGUAAGGAAGACCAGUGGCGAAGGCGGGUCUCUGGACAGUUCCUGACGCUGAGGCACGAAGGUCAGGGGGAGCAAACGGGGAUUAGAUACCCCCUG
rnacentral:rRNA from 1 species